GUCACGGCUAACUACGUGCCAGCAGCCGCGGUAAUACGUAGGUGGCAAGCGUUAUCCGGAUUUAUUGGGCGUAAAGAGAGUGCAGGCGGUUUUCUAAGUCUGAUGUGAAAGCCUUCGGCUUAACCGGAGAAGUGCAUCGGAAACUGGAUAACUUGAGUGCAGAAGAGGGUAGUGGAACUCCAUGUGUAGCGGUGGAAUGCGUAGAUAUAUGGAAGGAACACCAGUGGCGAAGGCGGCUACCUGGUCUGCAACUGACGCUGAGACUCGAAAGCAUGGGUAGCGAACAGGAUUAGAUACCCUGGUAG
rnacentral:rRNA from 1 species